GCCAAAACUAAUGUUAUCCUAAGAAUUAGACUUUUUCAGGAAGACCUGCUUUAAACAGAAAGUUCGCCCCUGAUCAAAUAUACAUGUUCUCCUCCUCGGCCUGCAGUACUGUUUAUCUACUGGAUUGUUUUGGUAUGAAAGAAGACGGCUCCUACAUGACACAGGGCAACCAGAGGUAACUCGAGUCAGAGUUUUCAGGGUCCCCGAAGGUGCCUCUCUUCUUUACCUGGCUAAAUUGCUACGGUAACUGAUGCUGAACACAUGACCCGGUCAGGAGCAUGAUCUGAUCAGUUUCCUUUUAGGAUCAGGUGGAAGCACAGUGUUUACACUAUUUUAUUUUCAGUUUGCUUUCAGUGAAAAAAGUUGUUCCUUGCUGAAGGAAUAUGUUUUGUAUAUGCAACUUUUUGAAGCCAUACUUUACUAACGCACUGAAGCCCAGCUAUAAAGCUGCAGCAGCACAAAGUGUAUGUGGCAUUGUGACAGGAAUUUGCAUACAUUCGGUUGGUGAUGCAGAACGUCUGUGGUCCUAAUCUGCUGCUAAGUCUCUUUACACUGCUGGAAAUACAGCUAAUAGAGUACAAAUUAGAAAAUGAAUUGGUUACAUUUGUAGACUAUAUAAUUAAUAAUUUCACUUUAAGCUGGCGACAAGUGAUAUCCACAGCUCUUUUAUGUACACACCUGUGAUGUUUAAGCAUAUCAGGUUUAAAGUUUAUGAGCUCUAACAUACAGCUGUCACAUUAGAAAUAAACAGCAGCACCGAGACCCACCAAAUGAUAAAAUAAGUAUAUUGGAAGGUACUUCAGGCUGCUCCCUUAUUUCCCGAGAGGUCGUCAGAGUGGAUGAAACUGUGUGUUUGAUUUGGCACCGGAUGCCUUUCCUGACAUGACCCUCACAUUUUAUCCAGGCUUGUGACCCUCGCAGGCUGGGUUCCCAGAAUUGAACCGAGGAUCUAUAGGCGAGUGUGUUUACCACUCAGUGUGAUUUUGAUGAUAAUGAGUUCAUAUGAUAUAUAUAUAUCGUCAUUACUUUCUCCUCUUAUUUGCAACAUCGUUACCAUUAUAUUUUACUGCUGUAUCUGUCUGUCUGUGUUAGGCAUGUGACAGACUAGCUAGGGUGUACUCUCCCUCUCAUUAUAUCACAGCUGAGAUUGGCUCCAGUGCCCCUGCAAACCUGAACUGGAUAAGUAGAAGAAGAUGGAUGGAUGGAUAUAUGUACUAGCACCACGUCAGAUAAUGUCACUGUCUGGAAUAUGAGGUGCUGAGUUUAUGUAUUUUAAGGAAAAAGAGUCAAAUGAUGCAGUCACUAACUGACGCUGUGAUACCCGUUAUCACCAGCUGUUUUUAGGGUUUCUUUUUGUUUGCUUUUUAACCAGUUAAUGCAAAGAAAGCUUGGCUGAGUUGAACUUGCUUGAUUUUUAGGUACCUUCAGCACCGCAAAGUGAGAGCCAUCUAGCCCACUUCUGUUCAAGAGAUGGCAUCAAAUUUCUCCAAAACUGUGCAAUUCACUCCAAAAUAAUCCAAACAGAUACACUGUACUUGAGGCCAGAGGGAAACGUGUACACUUUGGGUGGGAAAUUUCUCAUUAAGGGUACUAUUAAACAGUAAUUCUGUCUUCACUGUGUUUUUCUGAAAGCCCUGUAUACGGUUGCAUGUAUGGUUCAGUAUGCAUGUGUCAAGAUAUGAAUGAAUGUAUAUUUUGUAUUAUUUAAAUGUAUAUUAAGAUCAUGUGUCAACUGCCUCAUGAGUUCUUGCCUGCCAAUAUUUGUGAUAAAUGUUGACUAAAUGUCAUUUGGAGGGUCUCAUUAAACCCUAUCAAAGGAUCCC
ensembl:lncRNA